rnacentral:pre_miRNA from 1 species
UUUUGAUGAUGAUGAUGAUGAUGAGGAUAAUGAUGAUGUUGAUAUAUAUAUAUGUAUAUAAAAUCAUCAUCAUCAUCAUCAUCAUCAUCAGUUAAC